rnacentral:rRNA from 1 species
AUUGAACGCUGGCGGCAGGCUUAACACAUGCAAGUCGAGCGGGGUGAUGGUGCUUGCACUAUCACUUAGCGGCGGACGGGUGAGUAAUGCUUAGGAAUCUGCCUAUUAGUGGGGGACAGCAUCUCGAAAGGGAUGCUAAUACCGCAUACGUCCUACGGGAGAAAGCAGGGGAUCACUUGUGACCUUGCGCUAAUAGAUGAGCCUAAGUCGGAUUAGCUAGUUGGUGGGGUAAAGGCCUACCAAGGCGACGAUCUGUAGCGGGUCUGAGAGGAUACUCCGCCACACUGGGACUGAGGCACGGCCCAGACUCCUACGGGAGGCAGCAGUGGGGAAUAUUGGACAAUGGGGGGAACCCUGAUCCAGCCAUGCCGCGUGUGUGAAGAAGGCCUUAUGGUUGUAAAGCACUUUAAGCGAGGAGGAGGCUCUUUUGGUUAAUACCCAAGAUGAGUGGACGUUACUCGCAGAAUAAGCACCGGCUAACUCUGUGCCAGCCGCCGCGGUAA